CAGCAAUGAACGCGCAGCACGCGGAUAUUAGGGAUAACAUUUAAGCCAUUUUCAGUGAGCUGUUCAGAAUUUAUCAAAUCCAACUCGACUUGGCGUAAUUUUGUUGAGUUGGCGCCAGAGGCGUAAAACAAAAGUUUUCUGUGAAACAUUCAAGGACAUGCACUAAGCCGCACAAGUGUGCGUGUGCAUGCGUGUUUUCGUGUUUCGGUGUGUGUGUGUGUCUUACUCUAACUCCCUCUCUCUCUCUCUGACCAACGAUGACCCACGCGGCUUUAGCCGCUGACAGGCGUUAUAUUCGCCACAGCGGCAGUACGGUAGAAUCCUACACCGCGAAAAUAUCGUCGACAUUCCGGCCCGACUGGAGUUGGUGUUAAAACCGCAAAAUUUAACGUUCAGCUGCAAUAUUCACAACGUGCCACUUGCAACGUGCUGCAGCAGCCGCAAAUAAAACCCGGACACCUAUAGAAGCGUACGUAGCCCUAUUCACCCCGCGUUUCGCGUCGCGUUGCGUUUCGCUGACGGCCCUCCAAAUAUGUCAGUCUAGUUGACCAUUAUCGGAGCGUUUGGGUAUAUCCGAGUUAUGCGUAUAUAUAUAUAUAUGUGUACCCCCCGUCGCGGCGUGUAGCCAACAGUCACCAACCUUGGCCGUAUUAACAAUGUACAAGUGUUUGAAGGUUUUGGAGCAAGUGUCAUGUGAAGCAAAAUAAUUGCAAGAAAAACACAUAAUUAAAACAUAAUUUAAUAUCAACUUAACUUGUAACGACACAUAUCACCUUUAGUCUGAAUAUUGAUUUAUAAACAUAUAAGUAAAUUAAUAUUACCAAGUAAUAAUCGAAUAACAUAUCAACAACGUUUUGUGUAAUUUUUCCAUCAACUAAACCUUUUAUAUAAAUAUAAAUAUACAUAUAUAUGUAAUACUGAAAUACCAAAAUGCAAAUUAAACAAUUAUAAUACCAAUAGUUAUUUCGAACUAAUUAAAUUCCAAAAGCGAAACGAAAUUAGUCGUAAAAACGGCACACGCGAAAUUUCUGCUGCGCCGAGUGAAUUGCGCGAGUGCAAGUGUGUGUGUGUGUAGAUGUGCGAAUGCAGGUGUGCGUGUGUUUACAUGUGUUUUGUGUAUACUUAGCGGCAAAUCGCUAUGUCAUGUAAUAUCUUUAUGUCGCACAGCGGAUCAAGUGCUUAAACGCUAAGUAAAAGCCUCCCAUGAAUUUAUAUGCAUAAAGAAAAAACCCACGCAUGCUCGCCACAAGCCGAACGAGGCAUUAUAGAAGACCCAGAAGUUUAGCCGCGUACACGCAAAUGGAUUAGCUGCAACAUAAAGAGAAAAACUAAGCCAGAACAGACAAACAAAAAUAAGAAAAGAAAAAGGAAAACAUUUACACACACAAAAGCAUUUAAAAAGGCAGUAACGAAGACAUCGGGCAGCCUCCUGGCUGAAACUCAGCGCCGUGCACGCUCAGCCACCUGUCAUGACGUCAACGCCGUGGAAAUGGCCAAGCAAUUAAGCUGUUAACGAUAUACGUGCACUUAAGAGGUAUUCAGUCAGAUACAUAUGUGUGUGUAUACAUCUACAGAGAUCUAUGAAAAAAAAAAAACAACGCACGCAGUUUCGCAGUGGUAAAUGUUGCUGAUUAAUUUCAAGCGAAACAAGUUACUAUAUAUACUGGGCUUCAUUUGAGCAACAACUGAUGACAACAUGUUGAAACCGAUAACCGUGAUUAUUGGAAUUUUUUAUUUGGGUGAGUUGUGUUUUCUGUGCAGAAUUUUUUUGCA